rnacentral:tRNA from 1 species
CAGGAAGUAGUUUAAUAAGAAUUUUGGCUUUGGGUGCCAAGGGUGGAGGUUAAAAAUCAUCCCUUUUUGA